rnacentral:rRNA from 1 species
ACGUAGGGAGCAAGCGUUGUCCGGAAUUACUGGGCGUAAAGGGUGCGUAGGCGGUUAGUCAAGUCAGAUGUGAAAUAUCCGGGCUUAACCCGGGGGCUGCAUCUGAAACUGACAGACUUGAGUGCAGGAGAGGAAAGUGGAAUUCCUAGUGUAGCGGUAAAAUGCGUAGAUAUUAGGAGGAACACCAGUGGCGAAGGCGACUUUCUGGACUGUAACUGACGCUGAGGCACGAAAGCGUGGGAAGCAAACAG